UACAGAGGGUGCGAGCGUUAAUCGGAAUUACUGGGCGUAAAGCGUGCGCAGGCGGUUUCUUAAGUCAGAUGUGAAAGCCCCGGGCUUAACCUGGGAACUGCGUUUGAAACUGGGAGACUUGAGUGUGGCAGAGGGGGGUGGAAUUCCACGUGUAGCAGUGAAAUGCGUAGAUAUGUGGAGGAACACCAAUGGCGAAGGCAGCCCCCUGGGUCAACACUGACGCUCAUGCACGAAAGCGUGGGGAGCAAACAGG
rnacentral:rRNA from 1 species